AUUGAACGCUGGCGGUAGGCCUAACACAUGCAAGUCGAACGGCAGCACAGGAGAGCUUGCUCUCUGGGUGGCGAGUGGCGGACGGGUGAGGAAUACAUCGGAAUCUACUUUUUCGUGGGGGAUAACGUAGGGAAACUUACGCUAAUACCGCAUACGACCUACGGGUGAAAGCAGGGGACCUUCGGGCCUUGCGCGAUUGAAUGAGCCGAUGUCGGAUUAGCUAGUUGGCGGGGUAAAGGCCCACCAAGGCGACGAUCCGUAGCUGGUCUGAGGGGAUGAUCAGCCACACUGGAACUGAGACACGGUCCAGACUCCUACGGGAGGCAGCAGUGGGGAAUAUUGGACAAUGGGCGCAAGCCUGAUCCAGCCAUACCGCGUGGGUGAAGAAGGCCUUCGGGUUGUAAAGCCCUUUUGUUGGGAAAGAAAUCCAGCUGGCUAAUACCCGGUUGGGAUGACGGUACCCAAAGAAUAAGCACCGGCUAACUUCGUGCCAGCAGCCGCCGUAACAC
rnacentral:rRNA from 1 species